UUGUGGUUUUGGGUGUUGAUUUAGAAAACCUGACAAGGAUCAACCAGUCAUUUGAACAUUAGGAAAUCAGAAGGCUUCUCCAUCAGAAUA